CCCUCUAUCCUCGUGUGAUGGUAUCGCCCCAUUAGCCUUUUCUGAGUUGAUGUCACCCCUUAUCUCACUGCAGAGAUGGUAUCGCCCAACUUCACAGCUUGAGCGGUGCUUUGGAAAGUCCUCGGGAGUUUAUGGAAACUGUCAGGUGUGUUUGAAACGCCAGGCACUGGAACCUAAUGAGAAAACAAGAGCUGGAGCCCGGCCAAAAAAGGAGCGCUUGUUGGUGAUUCAUUGGACCAGACCACACCAGGUUCCCCCACCCCAAUGGGAGAUAAUAAGGCCAUUUAUAUGAGUGUCAGUGGACAGGAAGCAUGACCAUAUCUGGACUCUGAAGGACAGACAAUCAAGUCUUCAGAAGGAAAUGUUGGAAGAGCUGAGCCAGUCAUCAUGACCUUCACCUUGGCCUGCCAUCCACACCUUUGUACAGCUAUUGAUUGACAGUUGGUUUAAUGCCAUAGAUGUUGCUAACAAGACAGGGGAAGCGGUUCAUAUGUAUUUCAGCACAAUGGGGGAAGAAAGCCCGUAUAGCCUCAUGCGGCGUUCGGCAAACAGCGUCAGCACAAAUAAGUCCAGUAUUACAGCCUACCAUAUUUAACCUGAAAAGGGGGAAAAAAAGAAAAAGACAUUAACAAACUUCGACUGACCCUGACCAGCCUUUCUAACUGCAAACCUGCCCCCUUCCCAAUCCCCAGAGCCCUGGCUGCCCCUUCAAACCCCAGCAGAACUGCUACAUCCUCUCUCCCCUUCACCUCCUCCUUGGUGGUCUGCACUUCUACCAAAACGGUGCGAGAUGUUUUGGGUGGGGAGAGAACAGCACGACAGUGAAAUUGAUAUCCCUCCCCGUCCUCCUCCCAGGCAAUAUGUUGCCUUUCUGGGACUUAUCAAUGUGAUUGAUGGGAGGGGCGAGCAGCAGGAGGGACCCCUGCUUUAAUCAAACCCACCACCCUCAACAAAUUGGACAGUUGUGGACUAACAAGUCAGAUACUAAGAACGCUCUCCCCCUCCCUCAACUCCAGCUCCUAUAAACCCCUUUCUCCUCAUCCCCUCCCUAAAAGUUCUCCUUGGAAAAACUCCUUUGGCAGACAGGAUGGUGGGGAGGGUGAGUACGAAAGAUGAGAGGGAGAAAGCAUGAGUAAGCUAUAGAACCAGACAAAAGAUGGCAGCAAGAGAACAGAGUAUUACCAUAAGACUCCACUACACAAGAGACGUUUGUCCUGAAAACUCAACAAAAUA